UACGAAGGGGGCUAGCGUUGUUCGGAAUUACUGGGCGUAAAGGGCGCGCAGGCGGCUAGGGAAGUUGGGCGUGAAAGCCCCGGGCUCAACCCGGGAAAGGCGCUCGAUACUCCCUUGGCUAGAGUUCGGGAGAGGAGGGUGGAAUUCCCAGUGUAGAGGUGAAAUUCGUAGAUAUUGGGAAGAACACCGGUGGCGAAGGCGGCUCUCUGGACCGAUACUGACGCUGAGGCGCGAAAGCGUGGGGAGCAAACAGG
rnacentral:rRNA from 1 species